rnacentral:lncRNA from 1 species
GGAGAAACCGCCCCGCACCGCCCGCCGGUCGUGUGCGUCGGUUGACUCCGCCGGGUCCCCCCUUGGUGGCAGAGGCGGGAUGCUGCGGGAGGGGAAAGCCGUGGUGGGGCGUGCGGGUACGGCGGUGAAGCCCUGUGCCGUUCGGCGUCGUUCGGGCUCGGGCUGCAUUGGCAAGAGUAUCGCCCUUGGACUGGAGCAAAACCAUCCAAGCCCAUAAAGACAAAGCAAGGCUUCAUUAUCCCAGAUGACCAUUUUGUCCAGGAGACAAGUUACAAGGCGGACUAUAAGGCGCCGUCGCGGAUCCUCAACGUGUGACGCCGGGCCCUCCUCGCGCCGGGCAGCGCCACAGCGGUGCUUCCGACCGGACGUGUCACUAUGCAAUCUUCAGGAGGAGCGCUGGGAUCAGAGAACCGAUGUCAGCAGGAGCAGCUCCUGGGGCUGGGCGCUCUCCUUCUGCGAUUGUGCAGAUUGUGAAGCGCUCCAUUCAGAGCCAGCAAACACGCUCCGCUGUGCGCAGCGGCAGGGAGAAGUCACAAACAGGAGCGAGAACUGAUAGCAAACCCCCGGAGCAGCACGGAGCAGGGAGCACCUGCCUGACUUGUCAGCUUGCAGAGCUGCCUCCUGCACGCACCUCAGCACCAGAGCUCAGCACGGGAGGGCUGCUCUGCUCCGGACCCACAGGGUUGCUGGAGCCGCUGGCAGCUCCGCAGCGGCUGCGUUGGGGGGCUGUGUGUGCAGAGCGGUGAGCGCACGCUGCGCUUCGGAGGGUGUAGAAUACUGGUGGGUUGGAUGUAAAUAUUGCACCCGGAUUUUACCUAAAGCAGUUUGUGAUCCUUUAAGGAAGAGGACGUGCUUCUACUUUUAAUAAAUGUUAACUCUUUGCAUACGCAAGGUGGAAAGUGUUGCCUUGAAAUGCCUACGUUUCUGCCUGCCUAUCGGUGAUGUUAAUGUUAGUGGCUAGGAGCAACCAGAAGUGAAUGUUACUUAGAAACUCUUCUUAAAGAAAAACAUUAACAUGGAAUGUAUGACACCCCUCAUUGCUAA